GGCUCAGAUUGAACGCUGGCGGCAUGCCUAACACAUGCAAGUCGAAGCCCCGCAAGGGGAGUGGCAGACGGGUGAGUAACACGUGGGAACGUGCCCUUCGCUUCGGGAUAGCCUCGGGAAACUGGGAGUAAUACCGAAUACGCCGUAUUGGGAAAGAUAUAUCGGCGAAGGAUCGGCCCGCGUUGGAUUAGCUAGUUGGCGGUGUAAUGGACCACCAAGGCUACGAUCCAUAGCUGGUCUGAGAGGACGACCAGCCACACUGGGACUGAGACACGGCCCAGACUCCUACGGGAGGCAGCAGUGGGGAAUCUUGGACAAUGGGCGCAAGCCUGAUCCAGCCAUGCCGCGUGAGUGAAGAAGGCCUUAGGGUUGUAAAACUCUUUCGCCGGUGAAGAUAAUGACGGUAACCGGAGAAGAAGCCCCGGCUAACUUCGUG
rnacentral:rRNA from 1 species